CCUUCGGGCCUUGCGCUAUCAGAUGAGCCUAGGUCGGAUUAGCUAGUUGGUGAGGUAAUGGCUCACCAAGGCGACGAUCCGUAACUGGUCUGAGAGGAUGAUCAGUCACACUGGAACUGAGACACGGUCCAGACUCCUACGGGAGGCAGCAGUGGGGAAUAUUGGACAAUGGGCGAAAGCCUGAUCCAGCCAUGCCGCGUGUGUGAAGAAGGUCUUCGGAUUGUAAAGCACUUUAGGUUGGGAGGAAGGGCAUUAGC
rnacentral:rRNA from 1 species